AGGCCGAGGCCAAAUCCAACAAAACUCAAUGCAGGAACUACAUUGACCAGCUGAAGAGGAACUCAAAGCCCUUCCUAGUGAUAGAGGAGGAGGAGAAAGAGUCCAGUGGCAGCGAGAGCUCCAGCCUCAGUGGUGAGACUAAGAAGAUGGAGGCAUGUGCCAAUGAGGAGGGGAAGGACCUCAGAGAGGAGGAAGGAAGUGAACAGCCCAAAAAGGAGAAGGGCAAUGAAGGAAGGUGAUUCGCUGGCUGAACGGAAAGGUUAAAGACCGCUACCAGAAGAGGAAGGAGCAAACCGACUACAACGAGGAGCAGAAUGGGGUACUAAGGGGCGUAUGACAUCACCCACACAGAGCAGGAGCAAAUUAACCGGGCAAAGCUGCUGAAGGCUGAACAGAAGAGGCAGACGCUGGAGGACCGCUGGACAGGGUGGGAGAAGGAGAGGGCUUAGAAGAAAGAGGCCAGGAAGCUCGAAAAGAGGGAGAAGGCAGGUUCCAAUUCUAGAGACAACAUCAGCACAUUGAAAAUGGCCAGGCUUAUGGUGUGCUUGGAGACUCUUAUGGAAUUCAAGUCCAGGCCACCUCCCCCACCACAUGACCUUUAAUUUAUUUCCUUGUUUGUGUCUCCUCUACUAUCUUCUUCUUAUUACUUAGUAGUAGUAGUACUUCUAACUAUGGUUUCUAAGAAUUAUUGCUAAUUUGUGGCUAAUGAAAGUCAAUAUAGCUAAUUGUAUUGUUUCUUUGUCUCUUUGAGAAGCCAAUUAACCAGACCUAUUAAUAUUGUCUCUACAUGUCACAUCUUACGGUAGAGUAGCAUACAAUCAAUUGCCAAAUUGACUUCAUGGUAGGGAAGUAAUUAUGCGUUUUAAAUGCCAGGCUUUUGGUUGUCUGCUACUUAUGUCCUUUUUCAUAAUCAUAGGGCCUUGGCGCCACAAUGUGGCUUACACUACCCAGUGAACAACACCAUUAUAAGCCAAAGUGCAUCUACAUUAAUUUACCGACGGGCGUCGCUGCGAGAACGCAAGUGGAAAAUAAGAAAAAGGUUGCAGACCGUCAUGUCCCAAAACCACCCCUAUUCAUGCACUCGUAGAUAAAGAAAUGGGUGACUGUGAACUAAUUGUCUUGGGACUGGGCAGUGGGCACAGGAUUUGCAUUAUCUUGGCUUCGUGGUUGCACGAGAUUGGUGACAAUAAGGGAUCACCGUCUUUUACCCAUGUCACUCACCUGUGGAGUUCAAAAUCAUUUUCAAUAAUAACAAGACAUAACAUGCUAAUCGAUAAUAAACCAUUAAAAUGUA